UGCUUCAUAAAUUUCUUGAAGUAAAGUUACUUCUCUACUUUAUAAAUCACCAAUACAGUGGAACUGGUGGGUGGUUAAAACAUUUUACUGGUAACAAGGAGACAAAUCGAUAAUGUCAAUUUUCUGUGAAAGACACAUUGUUACCGCUACAUAGCGUAGAUCUUUGUGUGCAAUUUCAACUUCAUUGGUGCGUUUAAGUUUAAAUAUUUUGAGGGCGCCAAACGUGAAACUCACUAUUUGAAAGCGGUGUAGUGAGUGAAAGUAGGUGUUUUAAUAACCUUGCUAUAGGUCAGUCAUGGAAACUGGAGCUUUACUAGUUUAUCAGUGCAGAGUUUGCAAAUAUAUAGUAAGUGACAGUAGUUACCUUGUUCCUGGAAAUGAGGAACUCAUCCUCGUCUCACUUUCAGGCACAGCAGAUUGAAUGGCUGCUGCUCAGUAUCCAAAAGAUGGCUCGGUUACUAUUGCAACAAUCAGCACCGGCAACCAGAUGCCACAUCAAAGUUUCACCCUCUCAGUAGUAAUAAAGAUGUGACAGUAACACUUGGCCCUGAAUUUGAUCUGCCUGACCAGCCCUUUAGCAAGAUAAAUGUUUUACUGUGUGAUUGUAAGGCUAUACUUGGAGUUUAUUGGAAAAUUCCUCCCCCUGAUAAACCACAGUUUACAAAAAAAUACUUACUAAAUGGAGACAAACUACUCAGGUAUGCUUCUAGAAAGGGAUUUAUCGAAGCGCUAAAACUGGAUGAAGAGAUUAAAAAUCUCAGUGACAAAGUAUCAAAUUUAAACGACCAAGUUAUGUUGUCACUUUGGGACAUUGUGAGAAUAAAAGAGGUAUUGUGUCUUGUUGCAAAUGAUCCUGAACUGAUGAACUUGCUCAAGUUAGAUACCCCUUGGACAAAUACAUCCUGUGAUGUGGACGAUUUAUAAGAAUUGUUUGUAGACGUACCUUGUUUUAUGUGACUGAUGUUUUUACCUGUAUAAUUUGUUUUAUUUUAAAUUAUAUUUACUGAAAUGUG